rnacentral:lncRNA from 1 species
CUUCCUCCCUUCCUUCCUUCCUCCUUUCCUUCCUUCCUUCCUUCCUUCCUUCCUUGCUUCCUUCCUUCCUUCCUUCUUUUUCUAUGCAAGCAGGGAUUGGCCCCGUAGAGGUAUAGUUGUCCCAGGUGGCGGGGGUGUCUUCUCUCUGCGGGAAACAACGGGCACUCACAGAGUUACACAGGUUUACACACGCAUGCACACGCGCAACAUAUAUAAUGUUCGCACUGCAUUCAACAAAGUGGAGAAAAAUAAACAAGGAGAGAAAAAAUUGAAUUUGGGGAGGAGGGAAGAGAGGUGUUCCUCCCCCCACGGACCCCUCCCCCACAUGGGUUAAUUCUCCCUUCCCCCUUCUUUUGUGUAACUGUCACUUUCUGUGAUUAAGAACCGUCAAUUGUACGUUUGUUUGGGGUUCUUUGUUUUGGAAACGGUCAAUUACACAGGUAAGACCACGGAGGCCUGUGGACUCUGCAGGCGAUCUUUGUACUGGUCGAGCCAGUGCCUCAGUUCUGAGAUCUUGUAGCCCUCGGGGCCUCGUCCCCCCUGGUACAUGACUCGAGCCUCCUGGAUGAUAUAGAGCCGUUCCGAGUAGGCACCAUACGCUGCACUGGACGCGUUGUCCAUGGUGUCCACGGCAAGUAAGCAUCCUGGGGCGCCCUCCUGCAAAAGCCGGGCAGCCCGCAAUCGGUCCUGAAGGCACUGGUGCUUGGGGAUGUCGUAGGCUGCAUCUGAGCUGGCCCAGCCGUCGGAUGGGUGGGCUUCUUCAAUGUAGACAAGCAAGAAGUCGGCGAUGUCUAGGAAGGUGGAGGCGAGACGCUGGAAGGCGCGCAGUCGCGCCGUGAACGGGGGUCAGGUGCAGCUGCCGAAGUUGAGAACCAGUGGCCGGCUGCCCCGCGCGAAGUCUAAGAUGCGUAGUCUUUUCAGUCCGUCCAGUUGAAUGACCUCGGGAUUGGGGGCUAGGGAGCCCUUGUGGGCAGUCUUGAAGAAGUCCAUCUUUUGCCCGUGCCAGACAGCCUUCAGCGACUCUAUAGUGCAGAGCCGAUUGGAGUCAGAGACCCAGAUUGGCGGGUCAUCAGGGGGUAGCCCCGGGAACAGGAUAACAGCUGCCCCAUCCUCCUCCUCUCCUCCACCCCUGCUCCCGCCCCCGCCCGCCUUCCAGGGCUCCUCAGCUUCGCCUUCGUGCCGGCGUCUCAGCAGCACCUUCUUGCGGAUGCACAGGAAGUCCAGUAGCCACAGCGUCAGCGCUGUGGCCAGGAAGCGCGGGCCCAGGAAACAGCAGGCGGCCACCUGGGUAAGAAAGCCCAAGGUGUGAACCAGGAGGGAGUGGAGCCUGCCGGCUAGCCGCGGCGCAGCUGGGCAGCUGCGGCCGCGGCCGCCCUGGGCCCCACCCCCUCGCUCCCCUAGCCGACUUGGGUCCGGGCUGCUCAUCUGAGAUCCCGCUUCCCCUUAAACUGGAUUUAUAGUCGCGGGUUUAAAAGAAAAGGCGACUCCGCCCCCA